UUUCAUAUAAUCAUCAUUUAUAUCGAUUUUACCAGGACAAUUAACUUCCUGCAGCAUCAGAUUGAUGAACAUGUGUAAUAAGCAGCGGGCAGUUGAUUACAAUGUAUAACUAUAAAUAUAUGCUCAGGAAAGAAACUAAGACACAGUCCACCAUCUUUCUUGCCAGAUUCUGAUGUAAGGAAAUAUAGGGCCUGUUUGAUUUCUGUUUUUAAAAACAGUUUUCUGUUUUAUAAAAUUUAAAAACAAAAAAACUUGUUUGAUAAAGUUGUUUUCUCAUAAUUGAUUAAAAAACAGUUUCCUAUUUUUUUGUUUUUAAAACAGAAAAAUCAGAACAAUUAAAAUAUGUUUUUGUUUUCUGUUUUGGUGUUUUUUCAGAAACACGGAGAACAAUAUUUUCAUUAAUGGCACUCUUGUAAUUACUGGAUACAGUAAUGAAGUAAACAUCCUUAUACGAUGUGGGACUCCGGAGCACUACUGGGAAAUAAGCAAAUCAGGAUCACCUGUACCCAGACUCGUCUAUCGUUUCCAAUCCAUCACCAAGAAACCCAUGUUCUGCAAAUAAAAAAUCUCUGCAACGAAUUCCAAUUUGUUCAUCCCUUUUCUCUUCUAAAGUUUUCUUCUUUUAUAAUUUUAUUGAUCUAUAUUCGCUGUAAGUUUGAUUUUGAUUAGGUGCUAGUUUUCCCAACAAUUUUUGCUUUUACUUUGAUGGCAACCAGGCACCUACCACAUGAAUACGCAUGUUUGCCUUGCAUAGGCGCUAAGUGCUGGAUGAAGAAAGUUUUGAGAGUGAAGAACCUAGGAUUUUUUGGUUGGAUGUUUGGGCCAUUAAACACUGACAACGGUGGAGACUGGAUGAGAGGCGUUGAUGGAUUAAAGAAAAAUCCAAAAUGGAAUUUUUUUAUCAAGUUUUUUAAUUUAUAAUUUUCAAAACAUGCUUUAAAAACACAUUUACCACAAGCAGAUUUUUUUUGUGUUUUCAUUCCCAAAACAGUUUUCAAAAUAGAAUCAUCAAACAGAUUUUUUAUUUACUUAAUUCUCAAAAACAAUUUUUUAAAACUGAUUUGCAGAACAGUUUUUGAAAACAAUAAAACAAAAACAGAAUCAAACAGGCCCAUAGUUUGUUUGUCUCUAAUUAAUUUAUGAAAAAACUCACUUUUAAUUCUUUUAAGAAUUAGGGUAUGCUUUUCAUAAACAACAGAUUCUUUUUUUAAAAAAGCAUAAAACUAAUUUUCUUAUAUCCAUAUGAUUUAAAAUCACUUUUUAAAGUAAAAACACAUUUUAUAAUUGUAAACAAACAUAAAGUAACUUCUCAUUUUUUAAAAUCUCGUAAAAUAAAAUCACUUUUUCUAACUGGUUGUAAUCUUCAGGUUAAAUAAAAAAAGGUUGAGAGAAGCCACGAAUCAUUUAGAGAAGUGCUAGCAACAGUGCAACACACUCUUCUAAACAUGCUCCUAACUCUUCAACCUGAUUGAUUUAAUUUUUAAAAAGUUAACACAUUUUUAAUAAGUGAGGGAAAUAUGAUGACUAUUUUGAGAAUUGACCAACCAGAGGGAGUGUAUGAGUGUGUUCAGAAGUGUGUGUUACUGCUAGCACUCCUCAAUCAUUUAUUAUAGAGAGCCUUUUGAACAGUCAGUAAAAUAAUGUUAGGUUCGGUGCAUUGUUAGGCUGCGAGUAUCCCCUUCACAUCACCAUCAGCAAAAUUAAGUUGUACGUAUUUAUUUUAAGAUGAAGAAUUGAAUCUUAUAUACCCAUAACCAUAGGGUUGGGUACAAAAAUAGAAAACGAAAGGAAACUAUGGUAUGGAUGAAUGAAUAUAAAUAGAAUUACCUCGGGAUAAAGUACGAAUGGCUUUGGAGGGACAUACAUUCCCCCUCGUCCUCUUCCCCAUCCUCUUCCACUUCCUCUGCCUGACAUUUCCAAUGAAAUUCUAAUUCCAAGUGCAACUAUGCCUAGAAAAAAGAAGCAAAAUAGUGGACGGAUUUACGAAACCACCCAAUGCACCUCUCUAUUCUGCACUGCAGUCACCACAAUUGCAGGUCCCACCAAGGGCACGCCCUUCAGCUACGCUAUAAAAUUAAGACCCAUUACAUUAAUCCUUGCAAAUAUAAAAAAAAAUCAAAUAAAACAACGAAGCUUUUCUACGAAUUUUGGUUGUGAUCCAUUAGGGACUAGGAUACAAUGUUUGCUGUAACACAUGAAACUUUUAAAAACUAGAAGAAGCAACGGAGAGAGCAAUUGAAUUGCAUCUGCAUAGCAAAAUGAUUGCAGCCAAACCAAAGGUAGCAUAAAAUCAAAAGAACGUUGAGGAUUGGCUUUAAGAAAGUGAUGAAAUAAUAGUGAAGAUGUCCCACAUGGGGGAGUUCAAGAGCAAAACAAGUCUUCAUAGACAAUACUUCCCUCUUGAAUAAGCUUGAGGUUAAGUUAGGCACAAUCCAUUCUUAAUUCCAAUUUAUAUAAACUUAGGAUAGUAGUCAAAAGGGUAAGAGAAGUGAAGUUUUCAUUAUACAACAUCAGAAAAUAAAUAAAAUACACAGACUCACAUUUGACAAAUUAAAUUGACAACUGCAGAAAUCUUAAAAUUAACCAAUCAACUUCAUGUAAUAAAGAAAUUAAGCAUGCAAAAUUACCAACGGAGCUGUUCAGGAAUAAAAAAUGAAAAUUCAGAAAACAUACUACAUAUGUGAAACCGUGGCUAUCAGAAGAAAAAAAAAUGACAGGGAACAAUAUUCUCUAAGAGAUGCACAGAAACAGAUAUUGAUAUUGCUGAGCAACCACAAGACAAGAAAAGAAAAGGAUGAAGGGGAGGUUACUUACCUACGUUGGGCCAAUUUCUGGAAAAUAAGCGUGUGGCGGUGAGGAGCGCUGAUGC
rnacentral:lncRNA from 1 species